rnacentral:rRNA from 1 species
GACGAACGCUGCGGCGUGCUUAACACAUGCAAGUCGAACGAAGAGCGACGGAAGCUUGCUUCUAUCAAUCUUAGUGGCGAACGGGUGAGUAACGCGUAAUCAACCUGCCCUUCAGAGGGGGACAACAGUUGGAAACGACUGCUAAUACCGCAUACGAUCUAAUCUCGGCAUCGAGGAUGGAUGAAAGGUGGCCUCUACAUGUAAGCUAUCACUGAAGGAGGGGAUUGCGUCUGAUUAGCUAGUUGGAGGGGUAACGGCCCACCAAGGCGAUGAUCAGUAGCCGGUCUGAGAGGAUGAACGGCCACAUUGGGACUGAGACACGGCCCAGACUCCUACGGGAGGCAGCAGUGGGGAAUCUUCCGCAAUGGACGAAAGUCUGACGGAGCAACGCCGCGUGAGUGAUGACGGCCUUCGGGUUGUAAAGCUCUGUUAAUCGGGACGAAAGGCCUUCUUGCGAAUAGUGAGAAGGAUUGACGGUACCGGAAUAGAAAGCCACGGCUAA